rnacentral:lncRNA from 1 species
GAUAGUAGUUACUGACAAUUUAAUAAAUUUAUUUAAAAUGAUUUAAUCUUUCUCAAAUCAAUUUCUCAAAUCGUUUCUCAAAUCAAUUUCAAUUUCUCAAAAUAUCAUAAGAACUUACUCAAACUCAUUUAAUGCAAAUCAGUUCAUUGAAACACUAUAAUACAUUUAUUCGCAUAAAAUCGAUGGAAUCAUAUAAUACUCAUCAUAUCAAAUACUGAAGACUAAAAACUGUCAUCAAACAAGUACCCAAGGGAUAAUCUGAUCAUAUCCGGACCUCGACGGACGGGCAAUGACGUACUAUCUGGGUAGCGUCACGCCCCGGAGCUACAACGGAUAGAUGGGGACGAUCUCAUCUCAUAUCUCAUAUAUCUGUACUGUGCAUGCAUAAGCCCCCAAAAGGCAAAAGCGCCCGAACACACGGCCCAAAGCCUCUAUGUGUGUCCCGACGGGCCCCAAAGGCCUCUAUCUCAUCUUAUCUGUAUCUCUUUUCUGUAUCUCUUUUCUCAUCUCAUAUUAUCUGUUUCUCUGUAUCUGGAGGGAAGGGUACUGUCUAAUGAUUUCAAAAAUAACAUAUACAUAAACAUAGAAUCUCAUCUGAAAUCUCAUUUUCUUUCUAUUCAACAUAUCUCAAAAUCUGUUCAAUUCUAAUAUCAUGCCUUUACUCAAAAACGCUAAUAAAAUCAUUAAUCAAACUCAUUCUCAAUAACAAUAAAGACCAACACAUAGAUAAAAAUUAAUUUGCCAGAAAAUUAUUUAAUCGAAGCAUUAAAUACUUAUCAUAAAACCAGCAUAUACUAUGAAAAUAGGUUUUGUAUAUUCCACUCACAGUGAUGAUGUCUAGACUCGGUAUCAACAACGUCCGCGGGUUGAUUCUCGUUCGCGGAUGCGGAUCCUCCUAAUCACGGAAACACUAUAAUUAUUCUCCGUAAAUAGAAAUACAACCAAUUUAAUAUAAUAAAUCUCGAAUCAAAUCUCUAUUAACGAUAAACUAUUCCCGCAUGAGUAAAAUUACCAAAAUGCCCCUACAUGCCAAAAUUACCAAAAUACCCCCAACAUCAAUAUUUUACCAACUUAUCCUCAAACUUCAUUAUUUUACCAAAUUAUCCUCAUAUUCGGCAAUUACCAUAUUGUCCUCAAUUCAGAUUACAUAAAUUAAUCACAUUGUCUGAAAUUACGAAAUUACCCUCGGGGCAUAAAAUUACCGAAAUGUCC